rnacentral:rRNA from 1 species
GUGAACGCUGGCGGUAGGCCUAACCCAUGCAAGUCGAACGGCAGCACCGUAAGAGCUUGCUCUUACGGGUGGCGAGUGGCGGACGGGUGAGGAAUACAUCGGAAUCUACUUUUUCGUGGGGGAUAACGUAGGGAAACUUACGCUAAUACCGCAUACGACCUACGGGUGAAAGCAGGGGAUCUUCGGACCUUGCGCGAUUGAAUGAGCCGAUGUCGGAUUAGCUAGUUGGCGGGGUAAAGGCCCACCAAGGCGACGAUCCGUAGCUGGUCUGAGAGGAUGAUCAGCCACACUGGAACUGAGACACGGUCCAGACUCCUACGGGAGGCAGCAGUGGGGAAUAUUGGACAAUGGGCGCAAGCCUGAUCCAGCCAUACCGCGUGGGUGAAGAAGGCCUUCGGGUUGUAAAGCCCUUUUGUUGGGAAAGAAAAGCAGCAGGUUAAUACCCCGCUGCUCUGACGGUACCCAAAGAAUAAGCACCGGCUAACUUCGUG